GCUGAGAUGGCCGAGUGGUUAAGGCGAGUGAUUUGAAUUUCUCAUCAUCACUUGGAGUUUCUCCGCGUAGGUUCAAACCCUGCUCUCAGCG